UGAGCCCGAUACAGCCGCUUCACCCCAAUUUAUCUUCAAAGACUGCGAUCAUGAAGGUCUAAUUAGAGAUUUGGAGAGAAAAAUAGAAGCAGCUGAGGGAGAAAUUCGUUCUAUCAAAGCACUGAACUGCCGCUUGAAUAUUGACAUGCAAGUAAAAUGCGAUGCGCUUACCAACCAGAAAGCAGAAUGCACUCGUCUCCAAACGGCUACAUACGAUCUGCAGCAGGUUAACUGGGAUCUGAAACAGAAACUCGCGGAUGUCAAGUAUAAACUACAAACAGAGAAACAACUACGAAAACUACUCGA